rnacentral:tRNA from 1 species
GAGCUUACCUGGUGUAGUGAGAACUGCUAAUUACUCACAACCAUGGUUCGAUUCCAUGGUUCGCUCA